rnacentral:rRNA from 1 species
UACAGAGGUCUCAAGCGUUGUUCGGAUUCAUUGGGCGUAAAGGGUGCGUAGGUGGCAUGGUAAGUCGGAUGUGAAAUCCCGGGCUCAACCCCGGAACUGCAUUCGAUACUGCUGCGCUAGAGUACUGGAGAGGAGAUUGGAAUUUACGGUGUAGCAGUGAAAUGCGUAGAUAUCGUAAGGAAGACCAGUGGCGAAGGCGGAUCUCUGGACAGUUACUGACACUGAGGCACGAAGGCCAGGGGAGCAAACGGG